UACUAUGUACAUGUGUGUAGGUGAUGGAUAGAGUUAGAAAGCUCCUACCAGGAGUAGAGAUAAGAGAUUUUUAUACCUCUGUUAAAGAGAGGUUAGUAGAUGUCUCACACCAGCCCCACUCCUAUCAGCAGUCGUUUGGCAGGUCACAGCGACCACAUCUACCACCCUCCGGCAUUUCACCUUUCCAAUAUUUCCCUCGUCCAGCUGCAACUUCUCAUGCCCCACCUCUUAUCAUUAGACCCCCUCACUCUUAACUCCUCACUGGUUGAUUGUAGAGACUUGUAGAAAACAGCUAUACUUGUCUUUGUGUGUCUUUUUGCUUCCCUGCACUGAAUUUUUUAACCUCGGGAGUGUUCCAAAUCUCUUUUUUUGUCUAUUAGAAAGGAACUAUUUACUUGUACAUAA